ACACACUAUUGUUAAUGACAAAUUUUAAUAUUGGUUCUAUAUGUACCGGUACGUGUAAUGAUUUUUGUUAACAGAACAAGAACUUUAUUUUUGUAAAAGCAUUUUUUAUUUGGCUUGUCAUUUAAGAAAACAUAUUUGGCGUUUGGAGCAGGGCCAACAGUCAGUCAUGUGAGAACUAUAGAGAAAUGUACACAUAAAUACAAUAUUCAUUACAAAAAUCUAAUGUGACUUCUCUAAUUUGAAUGCAAAGUUUGUCAUACAAUUGUAGAAUGUUUUACAUGUGAAUAUAUAUAUAUAUACAUGUAUUUAGAAAGGAAAAAGAGAAAAAUUGUCAAUUUCCAAGAAAACAAUACUGACAAGUGUAUGUUCCUGUUUCUCCAGAUUUUUGUGUGUGAGUGAUGCUGUCAUUACGUGUGAUUGGUGAGAUGAUUUUUUUUUCUGUUUUAGACGAAUUUUUCUGUGAUUAGUUGUGUACACAUGGGUUGCUGUCAUCUUUGGCACAGUAAGACAGGAUUUUCAGAUCAUUUUGGAGAGAAUGUGAUGGCGCUUCAGUGUGGUAUGGACGCUUGACUGUGUUAUAUUGAGUGGUUGGUUAAACCAAACGUAGACGUGACUUGUUAGUGAAUCUUAUGGUCUGUUUCUUUAUCCUUUGUUGUCAGGCAUGUUAGUGCUACCUAGUAACCGUGUUUAUCCCACUUCUCUAUUAUUAUUUACCAAUAUUUUGUUAAUUGCCAUGCUACAAAAUUCUGACAUAUUAAUAAACAUUUUCUUAAAUUUC
rnacentral:sRNA from 1 species